UACGUAGGGUGCAAGCGUUAAUCGGAAUUACUGGGCGUAAAGCGUGCGCAGGCGGUUCGUUAAGUCAGAUGUGAAAUCCCCGGGCUUAACCUGGGAACUGCAUUUGUAACUGGCGGACUCGAGUAUGGCAGAGGGGGGUGGAAUUCCACGUGUAGCAGUGAAAUGCGUAGAGAUGUGGAGGAAUACCGAUGGCGAAGGCAGCCCCCUGGGCCAAUACUGACGCUCAUGCACGAAAGCGUGGGGAGCAAACAGG
rnacentral:rRNA from 1 species